rnacentral:other from 1 species
CAUCUGCUGCCAUGCCCGACAGCAAGCGCAAACAUUCGCCUUGUUCCUUAAUAACGACAUUGGGAAUGUAAUCGAAGCGGGCGUGCAAGCCUGCCACGUGCGGGAAGCCCGAAGCCUCGAAAGCCUGCCCACUUGAACCUCGGGUUCAAGGUCGUUUCGCAAGCAUCGGCAUGGCGGGGAUGU